rnacentral:rRNA from 1 species
CACGUAGGGGGCAAGCGUUGUCCGGAUUUAUUGGGCGUAAAGAGCUCGUAGGCGGUUCGCUAAGUCGGGUGUGAAACCUCCAGGCUCAACCUGGAGACGCCACCCCGAUACUGGUGUGACUCGAGUCCGGUAGGGGAGCGUGGAAUUCCUGGUGUAGCGGUGAAAGUGCGCAGAUAUCAGGAGGAACACCGGUGGCGAAGGCGGCAUCCGUGGACCGGUAUUGACGCUGAGGAGCGAAAGCCAGGGGAGCGAACGGG